GUGAAUCAUCGAAUCUUUGAACGCAUAUUGCGCUCUUUGGUAUUCCGAAGAGCAUGCUUGUUUGAGUAUCAGUAAACACCUCAAAGCUUUUGAUUUCUUUUUGAAAGCUUUGGACUUGAGCAAUCCCAACACCAAUCUUUUUCAGAUCGGCGGCGGGUUGCUUGAAAUGCAGGUGCAGCUGGACAUUCUCCUGAGCUAAAAGCAUAUUCAUUUAGUCCCGUCAAACGGAUUAUUACUUUUGCUGCAGCUAACAUAAAGGGAGUUUGACCGUAUUGGCUGACUGAUGCAGGAUUUCACAAGGGUCGGCAACGAUUCUUGUUAAACUCGAUCUCAAAUCAAGUAAGACUACCCGCUGAACUUAAGCAUAUCAAUAAGCGGAGGA
rnacentral:misc_RNA from 1 species